rnacentral:rRNA from 1 species
AACGAACGCUGGCGGCAUGCCUAACACAUGCAAGUCGAACGAGAACUUCGGGUCUAGUGGCGCACGGGUGCGUAACGCGUGGGAACCUGCCCUUAGGUUCGGAAUAACUCCCCGAAAGGGGUGCUAAUACCGGAUAAUGUCUUAGGACCAAAGAUUUAUCGCCUUUGGAUGGGCCCGCGUUGGAUUAGCUAGUUGGUAGGGUAAAAGCCUACCAAGGCGACGAUCCAUAGCUGGUCUGAGAGGAUGAUCAGCCACACUGGGACUGAGACACGGCCCAGACUCCUACGGGAGGCAGCAGUGGGGAAUAUUGGACAAUGGGCGAAAGCCUGAUCCAGCAAUGCCGCGUGAGUGAUGAAGGCCUUAGGGUUGUAAAUCUCUUUUACCCGGGAUGAUAAUGACAGUACCGGGAGAAUAAGCUCCGGCUAACUCCGUG